rnacentral:rRNA from 1 species
GCGGGGCUACCCGCUGAGUUUAAGCAUAU